rnacentral:lncRNA from 1 species
GCUAAAAUUAGAAAUCUUUCUUGUAGUUUGGAGACCUAAUAGACCCCGAGGCUUGGUGGGUGGUUCUCUCCUGCUAACUUCUAAAGUUGAAGCUAAGGGGAUCAUUAUUUAUCUGGAGACUAUAAGGCUGUGCUGUCCAGUAUGGUAGUCACCAGCCUCAUGUGGCUGUUGAGAACUUGAAAUGUGGCUAGUCCGGAUCGAGAUGUGCUAAGAACUUGAUGUAUACCUCCUGACCUGUUCAUCUUGUAGCUGCCUCUUGACAGCACAUGUUGGCACCUUUAGAAAGAUCUAGAAAUCCACGUGUUGUACGUAAAUCUGGGGCUGUUGUUACUGCAGAUGUACCUUCCACAACUUGAUUUUCUGUGAUGUCAAUUAUUCAGGUUGGAAUCUCUGCAUUUGCAGAAUGUGAUCUCUUACAAUGAUGACUGCAUCUCUGCAGGCUGCAGAGGCCCGGGGACACAUGCUUUCCUCUACUUGUAGAAGGAGGCACCAGACACCUCUUACCCUGGAGUUCUUUUCUCUAGAAGAUAGCCUAUACAGUGGGACAUGGCGUCUUCAACCUCCUGACUCUAAUCACCUUUGAAGAUAAGCAUCCAAUCCCUUUACAUUAAAGGUAUGGGAUUACAAGACAGACAAACAAAGGGAGACGCUACAUGCUUCCAGAAAAAUAUU